rnacentral:rRNA from 1 species
AUACGGAGGGUGCAAGCGUUACUCGGAAUCACUGGGCGUAAAGCGCGCGCAGGCGGGCUGAUAAGUUGGAUGUGAAACCCUACGGCUCAACCGUAGAACUGCAUCCAAAACUGUCAGUCUAGAGUCUGGGAGGGGAAGAUGGAAUUAGUUGUGUAGGGGUAAAAUCCGUAGAGAUAACUAGGAAUACCAAAAGCGAAGGCGAUCUUCUGGAACAGUACUGACGCUGAGGCGCGAAAGCGUGGGGAGCAAACAGGAUUAGAAACCCUAGUAGUCC